UCCCUCUUAGCUCAGUUGGUAGAGCGCGUCACUAGUAUGAUUGGAGCAACGUGUGUAAAAAUAUUAUGACGAGGUCAGUCGUUCAAGUCGGCUAGAGGGAA